UUUGCAGAUUCUUUAGAAGCUCUCCAUGGGCUUGCCAGACUCUGCAGAGCACAAGCUGGAAACCAGUGAUUUAGUUUUUAUGCUGUUGGAGAUAAUCCAAACCUCAAACACCAAAACCCCCCAUAAAAAAGGUUGACCAUCUCUGCAUGUUAUCGGACUAAUUUAAGAAGCUAACCAGCAGGGAGAGCCAGGAUAUCUCGGCUUCCUCCUGAUCAACUUGGAUAAAGCUAAAACCGACGAAGGCCUUAGGCUGAAUCUACGAUAAGGAGAUCAACCACCAGAAGACUGUAGCUGAUGUUAAGUGGAUGAUAGCUCAUCUACCUAGGAAGCCACCUUAUACGGGGCGCUGGUGGCU